rnacentral:rRNA from 1 species
AAACUCAAAGGAAUUGACGGGACCCGCACAAGCAGCGGAGCGUGUGGUUUAAUUCGUUGCUACACGAAGAACCUUACCUGGGUUUGACAUAUAGGUUGUAGGGAACUGAAAAGGGACCGACCCUUCGGGGAGCCUAUACAGGUGUUGCAUGGCUGUCGUCAGCUCGUGUCGUGAGAUGUUCGGUUAAGUCCGCUAACGAGCGCAACCCUCGUCGUAUGUUAUAUGUGUCAUACGAGACUGCCGGUAAAAAGCCGGAGGAAGGUGAGGAUGAUGUCAAGUCAGCAUGACCUUUAUAUCCUGGGCUACACACACGCUACAAUGGCCAACACAAUAGGUUGCUAAGCCGCGAGGUGGCGCCAAUCCAUAAAGUUGGUCUCAGUUCAGAUUGUAGGCUGCAACCCGCCUGCAUGAAGAUGGAGUUGCUAGUAACCGCAGGUCAGCUAUACUGCGGUGAAUACGUUCCCGGGGCUU